rnacentral:rRNA from 1 species
AGGAUUAACGCUGGCGGCGUGCCUGACACAUGCAAGUCGAACGAGGCCGCAAGGCCGAGUGGCGGACGGGUGAGUAACACGUGACCAACCAACCUCGAAGUUGGGAAUAGCUCUGCGAAAGUAGGGGUAAUACCGAAUGUGGCCCAGGGCGGGCAUCCGCCUUGGUCUAAAGAUUCAUCGCUUCGAGACGGGGUCGCGGCCUAUUAGCUUGUUGGUGAGGUAACGGCUCACCAAGGCGAUGAUGGGUAGCUGGUCUGAGAGGACGAUCAGCCACACUGGGACUGAGACACGGCCCAGACUCCUACGGGAGGCAGCAGUGGGGAAUUUUGCGCAAUGGGGGAAACCCUGACGCAGCAACGCCGCGUGGAGGAUGAAGCCCCUUGGGGUGUAAACUCCUUUCGAUCGGGAAGAUAAUGACGGUACCGAUAUAAGAAGCCCCGGCUAACUUCGUGCCAGCAGCCGC